AAUCCGUGUAUUGUGUUCACUAAACUUGGAUGUGUUCUUUGUCACUACAGCACAAACAGGUCUGGCGGAGCGUGACUUGUUCAUAAGUGUUAAACAAAUCCUGAGGCAAGGGUCGUUAAAAUUUUGGCAGUUGAGUAUAUAAAUAUCGUUCUUCACAAGUCACAACAACACACACGCGUACGACAGCUGAAACAAAUUAAUCAGUCCAUAAAUAAGUCACUUUAGCUGCAUUCCACCAGAUAACACGAGGAAAAUAACACAAAUAAUGGAAUCAGGAUAGCCGGUCCCAUGAUUUGAACUUGGUACCUCCAAAAUACAAGUCAUAAGGGCUACUUGGGACUAGAGGUUCUAACGGCGACGAUUAUGAAGAUUAUUGUCUUGUUAAGGAAACAAAGUCCGUGUUGGGUCCAUUUCACUGUGCGAUAUCAGGUUGCAGAUGUAUCAGGCGGUCUAAGGAUGUGGAUUUCACCUGAGAAUAAACAGCAGCGGACAGCGAAGAAGGCGUGUUCUCCAGCUUGGGGGAUUUUGCUGCUGGCUGACAACCUCUCAGCAUAAAAGAAGAGUAACAUUGCAGCCAACUUUGCUAUAUUAUACUGUACAUUUGUCAUCGAUAGUUACACAGUAGUGUCGUAUAAGAUGUCUUUUGCGUGAAAGCUUAUGGCACGCGUGCUGUAGGUUGCAAACCCUGGACUUAAUUUAUGCAUUCGUCGCGGCGAAUUUCUGAACCUACUACAACAACAACGAGCAGGUAGGACAAGACAGUAAGGCCUAGAAUACAUGCGUAGCAUUCCCAGUACACUAAUUAUACUUUGGCUACAAGCUGUGAAUUAGCCUUAACACAGUUUCCAGAAGAAAAGGAAUCACAAAAGCAAAGCAGUGGACAUUUUUAAUUGGGAUAAUACACAUGUGUAAAUAACUUGAGCUUAGGUAGAAGGGGUUGUUCGAGGGAAGUGUUAAUAUACAUAUGCAAUGCAGAGAUGGACUCGCAUACAAAUGACCAUUAGAUCAACAAUAGGACAAAGCCACAGAACGAAGAGAGGUAAAAAGUACGAGGGUGGUGGUCCAUGGGACAAACGCAACACCAUUAUUUUUUUGUCAUUCCUUUUUUUAAUGGUUUUGAGUAGGAUUCCAGCAGAAUGGUACUGUGAUGCAUUCUUUAUUUGAAAGGCAGACAUGCUCGCAUGUGUGUGUAUGUGUUAAAGGAGUAAUCAAAGCUAGAAUAUAUGUAUACGUGUUUCAAAGUGGGUGUGGUGCGUAGAGUGGUAUGAGACAUUUUUAUACAUAUAUUUUUAUCAGAAAUAGUUCUCAAAUUCAAAAGUGGCAUAUGUUAAUAGAACAACAAGCUACAACAGGAACUUAUGACGCUUGGUUUUAUUUAAAGGCCUUUUCUUCCUGUAAAGGAAUCAGGAACACUGUUAAAAAUACGAGUCAGGACAAGCGAUUUGCAGAAGCCAAUAACUUCGCUAUACUACAUUGUUAAACUUAGGCGGCUGAUUACUAUAUUGCUAAUGUUUUAGAAUAUCAGUUAUAUUUUAUGUAGACUUUGAUUUAAUGUGUAAAAUGUAUUAGACUUUUAUAACUAGAUUAUAUGAUCAUAAUAUAGUCUACAAGUGUAAUACCUACUAUCGCAUUUAUCUGAGAUGACAUAAGGUGUGUUACUGUAACUGAAGUAGGCCCUCAAUCUAAUGAUCUUAUAAUUAUGAA